GUUCUCAAAAGAAGAUCAAAGACUCAACGCAUGUGAAAGGCCACCGGAAAACAAAUAGGUCUUAAGCUGCAACUUAAAGUUGCAAAUGGAGUUGGAAGAAGUUAUGUAAUUUGGAAGCUGGUUCCAAACAAAAAAAAGUAAAAGAGCAUUGACCGUAGGUUUUUUUACGCCGUAAUAUUGGUGACAGAAAGAAGUGUUUUGUAUUCAAUAUACAUCGACUGUUAACUGAUGUUACGUUUUGAAAUACCCACUCAGAGUUCGCACUGUCAUCACUUUCAAAAGAAAACUAUUAAUCACAGCCUGUAUCUGGGUGAUUUCAACUUUGUGUUCAAUUCAUGUUAUUGUUUACCCUCUAAAAUUUCUUGGGUGGAUUGAUUUAAAUGACGAGUUUGACAAGUGGCAACCUACAACACAAUUUAUAAUUCCGGCAGUCAUCGUUGUAGUAUCUUGCGUCAUUACAGCUGUAACACUUAUUAAAAGAAUACACAGUAAUCGUUUACAAGAGUCCAAUAAAAGUAACGUGUCCACAGGAAAUUCUCUCAGAAAUCCAAAAAAGGCUCUAAAAACGGUGAUCAUCGUGGCUGUUGUCUUUCUGUGCAUGACUUCACCGAGUGCAAUUUUUCGUUUUUGGAUUAUAAACAAUAAAUACUAUGGUUUCGCGAUACCCUGCUUCUUUUUUGUUAAUCUACUUAGAAUAUCUAAUAGCUGCGUUAAUCCAUUUAUUUAUGCACUCAUGUCCAGUAGUUUUCGAUCGGCCAUCAAAUCAACAUUUUGCUGUAAAACAGAUUCGACAAACAGGCAAAAUUUAAAUUUUAACUCUAGAAGUAGACCGUUGCAAAACAGAGUUUAGAAACAAUGAUAAACUAGGCCAAGAGUAAUCUUCAUUAAAUAAGGCUGCAUUCACAUCGGACCCAAACCAAAAUUCGGACCACGUUUUGGAUGCACUACGCCAGCGUCCCUACUCCUGUGACAGAGUCAUACAGUAAUUUAUAUAUAUACACAAAGGUCUUAGCAUCAUAUUUUUAUAAUAUAUAAGUGUAUCUAAGGAGUUGAAGAUGUUUGCUGACAAAGGUUUAGUUAUUCAUUCAUUUGAAUAAAUAAAUUAAAAAAAAAAUUAACUGAUGGUGUGUGUAUGGAUGAGAUAACGGGAUGAGAUACAUGGAUAGAUGGAUGCAUGCAUGAUGGCAUGCAAGAUGGAUAUAUAAAUGGAUGGCUUGAUGGAAGGAAGAUCAAUGAUGGACGAAGGAAGCCUUAGGAAGGCAUACAAUAAAUCAAUUCAAAAGUACGAACAGAUGGACAAACGAACGAAUUCAAACGAACGACAAACGACCCAAUGAAUGAAGUCAACACAUUCACUUUCACUCUCUAAAAUUAUUCGAU